rnacentral:rRNA from 1 species
GACGAACGCUGGCGGCGCGCCUAACACAUGCAAGUCGAACGAGAGAUGAGGAGCUUGCUCUUCAAAUCGAGUGGCGAACGGGUGAGUAACGCGUGAGGAACCUGCCUCAAAGAGGGGGACAACAGUUGGAAACGACUGCUAAUACCGCAUAAGCCCACGGCUCGGCAUCGAGCAGGGGGAAAAGGAGCAAUCCGCUUUGAGAUGGCCUCGCGUCCGAUUAGCUAGUUGGCGAGGUAAUGGCCCACCAAGGCGACGAUCGGUAGCCGGACUGAGAGGUUGAACGGCCACAUUGGGACUGAGACACGGCCCAGACUCCUACGGGAGGCAGCAGUGGGGAAUAUUGCACAAUGGGGGAAACCCUGAUGCAGCGACGCCGCGUGGAGGAAGAAGGUCUUCGGAUUGUAAACUCCUGUUGUUGAGGAAGAUAAUGACGGUAC